GCAAGUCGAGCGAGACGGUUGUGAUUGAUCCUUCGGGUGAUAGAUCAACUAGAAAGCGGCGGACGGGUGAGUAACGCGUGGGUAACCUGCCCUACACACAAGGAUAGCCAUUGGAAACGAUGAUUAAUACUUGAUAACACAUUGAAGUCGCAUGGCUUUAAUGUCAAAGAUUUAUCGGUGUAGGAUGGACCCGCGUCUGAUUAGCUAGUUGGUAAGGUAACGGCUUACCAAGGCGACGAUCAGUAGCUGGUCUGAGAGGAUGGAC
rnacentral:rRNA from 1 species